rnacentral:rRNA from 1 species
GACGAACGCUGGCGGCGUGCUUAACACAUGCAAGUCGAACGGAAAGGCCCUGCUUUUGUGGGGUGCUCGAGUGGCGAACGGGUGAGUAACACGUGAGUAACCUGCCCUUGACUUUGGGAUAACUUCAGGAAACUGGGGCUAAUACCGGAUAGGAGCUCCUGCUGCAUGGUGGGGGUUGGAAAGUUUCGGCGGUUGGGGAUGGACUCGCGGCUUAUCAGCUUGUUGGUGGGGUAGUGGCUUACCAAGGCUUUGACGGGUAGCCGGCCUGAGAGGGUGACCGGCCACAUUGGGACUGAGAUACGGCCCAGACUCCUACGGGAGGCAGCAGUGGGAAAUAUUGCACAAUGGGCGGGAGCCUGAUGCAGCAACGCCGCGUGCGGGAUGACGGCCUUCGGGUUGUAAACCGCUUUCGCCUGUGACGAAGCGUGAGUGACGGUAAUGGGUAAAGAAGCACCGGCUAACUACGUG